rnacentral:rRNA from 1 species
AAAUUGAAGAGUUUGAUCAUGGCUCAGAUUGAACGCUGGCGGCAGGCCUAACACAUGCAAGUCGAGCGGCAGCGGGAAAGUAGCUUGCUACUUUUGCCGGCGAGCGGCGGACGGGUGAGUAAUGCCUGGGAAAUUGCCCAGUCGAGGGGGAUAACAGUUGGAAACGACUGCUAAUACCGCAUACGCCCUACGGGGGAAAGCAGGGGACCUUCGGGCCUUGCGCGAUUGGAUAUGCCCAGGUGGGAUUAGCUAGUUGGUGAGGUAAUGGCUCACCAAGGCGACGAUCCCUAGCUGGUCUGAGAGGAUGAUCAGCCACACUGGAACUGAGACACGGUCCAGACUCCUACGGGAGGCAGCAGUGGGGAAUAUUGCACAAUGGGGGAAACCCUGAUGCAGCCAUGCCGCGUGUGUGAAGAAGGCCUUCGGGUUGUAAAGCACU